GUGGGGAAUAUUGGGCAAUGGGGGAAACCCUGACCCAGCGACGCCGCGUGAGGGAAGACGGCCUUCGGGUUGUAAACCUCUUUUGUACGGGAAGAAGGAAGUGACGGUACUGUACGAAUAAGUCCCGGCUAACUACGUGCCAGCAGCCGCGGUAAUACGUAGGGGACGAGCGUUGUCCGGAAUUACUGGGCGUAAAGGGCGCGCAGGCUGUGCUGCAAGUCAGCUGUGAAAUGUCUGGGCUUAACCCGGGCAUGCGGUUGAGACUGCAGUGCUGGAGUGCUGUAGAGGCAAGUGGAAUUCCCAGUGUAGCGGUGAAAUGCGUGGAUAUUGGGAAGAACACCGGUGGCGAAGGCGACUUGCUGGGCAGCAACUGACGCUGAGGCGCGAAAGCCAGGGGAGCAAACGGGAUUAGAAACCCGGGUAGUCC
rnacentral:rRNA from 1 species